rnacentral:rRNA from 1 species
GAUGAACGCUGGCGGCGUGCCUAAUACAUGCAAGUCGAGCGAACGGACGAGAAGCUUGCUUCUCUGAUGUUAGCGGCGGACGGGUGAGUAACACGUGGAUAACCUACCUAUAAGACUGGGAUAACUUCGGGAAACCGGAGCUAAUACCGGAUGAUAUUUUGAACCGCAUGGUUCAAAAGUGAAAGACGGUCUUGCUGUCACUUAUAGAUGGAUCCGCGCUGCAUUAGCUAGUUGGUAAGGUAACGGCUUACCAAGGCAACGAUGCAUAGCCGACCUGAGAGGGUGAUCGGCCACACUGGAACUGAGACACGGUCCAGACUCCUACGGGACGCAGCAGUAGGGAAUCUUCCGCAAUGGGCGAAAGCCUGACGGAGCAACGCCGCGUGAGUGAUGAAGGUCUUCGGAUCGUAAAACUCUGUUAUUAGGGAAGAACAUAUGUGUAAGUAACUGUGCACAUCUUGACGGUACCUAAUCAGAAAGCCACGGCUAACUACGUG